rnacentral:rRNA from 1 species
UACGGGGGGGGCAAGCGUUGUUCGGAAUUACUGGGCGUAAAGGUCUCGUAGGUGGCCAACUAAGUCAGACGUGAAAUCCCCAGGCUCAACUUGGGAACUGCGUCUGAUACUGGAUGGCUUGAAUUCGGGAGAGGGAUGCAGAAUUCCAGGUGUAGCGGUGAAAUGCGUAGAUAUCUGGAGGAAUACCGGUGGCGAAGGCGGCAUCCUGGACCAACACUGACGCUGAGGAGCGAAAGCCAGGGGAGCAAACGGG